rnacentral:lncRNA from 1 species
AAAAAAUGACGUACAUAAGUCCAGAUGGUCCAAAAAUGUCAUAUAUAAGUAAAAGACUAAUAAAUGUCAAAAUAGUCAAUAGCAACGAUAAAGUAGCAUAUUGUCAAAAUAAAAUUCAAUCCAUACUACUACUACUACUACUAUAUAAUAAUGCACUACUGUGGUGUCUGACUACAUCGCCUCUUCCUCCUCGACCAUCAACCCCCCCAUCCUCCAAUGCUGUCUCUGCUAAAUCAAUGUCCCAUAUGCCUUCGUCAUGAUGGCAUCUAGGACCUGCCUUAGAUCAGACCCAU